AACAGAGCCUCAUAGGCAUAGGCAAACACCUCCUCCUUACGAGGUUGGUCAGUGAUCAGCUCGGAGCCAUGCACAAUGGAGGGGAUGAAGUUCUUAGUACCCCUGCCGUUAGCCACCGCUUGAAAUAGCUUGGUGUUAGCAUCCCCAUCCCGCAGCCACUUCAUCCUCGAUCGCUGCCUAUCAAUCAAACGUUAUAGAGAGGCGAAGCCAAGCAGGGAUAGUUUGAGCUAUCUGCGAAGCCAAUGCUCAGGGGUAGAAAGCCACCUGAACUCCUGUACUUGAUCGAAGCGGAAAAAUAAUGCAGUUGGCCACCGCCAUCAAGACCUUGAUGUUGCCCACGCGACGUUGACCCCAUGCCUGCAAGUGCACAUCAGUAUUUCUGAGCAGGGUGUCGAGCCUCUUCAAAGGAUCAACAGUGGCGUCAUCACAAACCUAGGCCUCCCGAACCGCGUCUUCGAAACCAUCAAUCUUGGUCCAGAAC
rnacentral:lncRNA from 1 species